UUGAAAGGGAAACGAUUGAAGUGGGGGUACCCACGAGAAAUCACUUUUUGAGUGCUGGCUUGUGGGCCUGUGUGAGCUGUCAAAGGCCUCGCUGUUUGGAUGUUUGUGCUUUUUGGGUGUACUUUUUCGUAUGGUAGGCCAACGUCAGUUUCGAUCACCAUAAAAUGAUCGGAGGAAUGUAGCUUUGAUCUCGUAUUGAAGUGUUAUAGCCUUUGGUAGAUGUGGUGAUCGAUACUGAGGAUUGCAACGAAUACCCUUUGGGCUAUCCGGCUGACCUCUGGAAGUUGCUUAGGUGCCGAAAGCUUGCUUAUGGUAUUUAAGACGACGGUCAAAAGGUUAGAACGUGAUUACAUUCGUUAAGGAUGUUGACGUA
rnacentral:rRNA from 1 species